rnacentral:lncRNA from 1 species
AGGAUCAUAGGUGCUCUGACACUCACAGGCUCACAGGCUCACAGGCUCACAGGAUCACAGGUGCUCUGACACAGGCUCACAGGCUCACAGGCUCACAGGAUCACAGGCUCACAGGAUCACAGGCUCACAGGAUCACAGGCUCACAGGAUCACAGGCUCACAGGAUCACAGGCUCACAGGAUCACAGGCUCACAGGAUCACAGAGGAAGCUUGAUUCCUAGAAGAUUGGACACACAUGGGAGCACUGGAGCUCUGACACACUCAAGACCACAGCUGAGGCUACAACAUUUUCCCCAACACUCAGCAUAACUGGGACCCCCAAGGAACCAGGGAAACACAAAUCUCUGCCUAGACAGAGACAUGGAUUCCUUCCAGUUUGCACCUGUGCCCAGAGCAAACCCAGGGCUAUGGUUCCCCACCUACCCCUGCAACACCCAGAGGAGGCCAGUGACACCCUGGAGCUGGUGUUUACAGGGAACCUCCAGAGACUCAGCGUGUGGGCUGAGCCAGGUUCUGUCAUCGAAUCAGGGAACUCUGUGACCAUUUGGUGUGAGGGGACCAUGAGAACCCAAAUAUAUUUCCUGUAUAAAGAAGGAAGCCCAGCAUCCUGGGACAGACAAAUUCCAAAGCACCCUGGUAACAAGGCCAUGUUCUUCAAUGCAUCCAUGGGAAAGCAUAAUGCUGGACGACAUUACUGAUACUGUUACAAUUCCGAUGGGUGGUCACAGCACAGUGACACACUGGAGCUGGUGAUGACAGAUGUCCACCAUGGCAAGCCUACUCUUUCAGCCUUUCCCAGUCCUGUGGUGACCUCAGGUGGGAAUGUGACCCUCCAUUGUGUCUCUUCAAAAAAAUAUGAUUGGUUUAUUCUGACUGGGAAAGAUUUGAAGUUCUUCAGGUCCCAGAAGGCACAGUUUAUACACACAAGUCCAAGACUCUGUUCCCUGAAAUCUCUGUGGCAUCUAGCAAGAAGGGGCCCUUUAGAGGUCAUGGAUACAAUGCAAGUACUCCUCAUGUGUGGUCAGAGGUCCAUAACCCUCUGGAGAUACAUGUUUCAGCCUUGGAUACACAGGAUCAUCACACAGUGGUAUGGCUGGCUUGGUCCUUGAAGUCCUUUGAAUUCUGCUGCUUGUAGCUUAUUACAGCUGGAGAAAGAUUCAACAUGAAGAUAUAAGGCAGGUGUUUCUGAUGACUGGAAAAACAGCUUCACCACAGCCCAGAGUGAAGAGUUUACCAAGAUCUUUCAGGUGACUCUGGCUUUCAACAGCUGAAGAGCACAGAACAAGGAUCCUUAGGAUCUCUGAAGAUCAACAGUAAGGGAGAAAUUGUGGGGAAGCUUGCAACAAAAACUUCACCAACAUGCCUCACAAAGAGACGAGAAUCUAUAAAAAAUGUUUGAAAGAUGAUACAAAUAAAAUUUAGAAGAUAAAAGCUAACAAAUGUGACCACCAGCAUCAGGAUAGUAUUGGUUGCUCUGGACUCAGCUUGGCCUCUGGCGUCCUGAUUGGGAGUGAGGAUGUGCUGCAUUCGCUGGCGAUGUCUACGGAGGAGAAGUACCAUGGAGACACUGGUCCAGACCAUGAUGCUCAUGAAUGUGGCAUCAUGGGCAAACCUCAAGAAGACAAUGCCCACACUGAAUCCAGAAGUGGAACAGAACAACUUGCUUUUAGAGUCAUUAUUAUUGUCUGUUAUCUGUGGACCAGUGACUUUAAUUGGAAUGUGGAUGUUAUUUAAGACACUGAAGAACCAACAACUGUAACAAGAAUAACUUGCCAUGUUUGUGACACUUGCUCUGAGUAUAAGUUUUCCUUUAUUAACAGGAACAAGAGUGACAAACUGAUGGAUACUCAGGACACAGGUGGAACACAAGUUUGUGCUUCUUGCCACCAGGCGAGUAAAGAAUUCUAAUUUACAUUUGAGGUCAGUUAGAGGAUUUCUUGGAGCAAAAGCCAUCAUGUUGUUUGGAAAUAUAGUGAGGAAGAGAGUCAAGGCGUUGGUCACAGCCAUGUGGCUUAAAAGCACCUGUCUGGGCCUCUGUUUAGAACCAGUCAAGACUGGAGAGAAAUUAUGGACAAACAGACAGACAUUGGCCACAGUUCCAACCCCAAACUGGCAAAGCAAGAGGAUCUGAAGAGCCACUUCCUCAGUGGUUUUCAGGGAUUUACUAUGAGCAGACAUGGAGAGGGCUUUAUUCAACCCUAGAGUGAUGAUUAGGCAGGACACUGCUACCCUCAGGAGUCUGUUCUAUUGUCCAUGCUUAUCAAUUGGUUUGGGAUAAUUUCUUCUCUUGAUAAGUGAGACACUAUUCUAUCACAAUAAAGGAACUUUGCCUGGAGAACAAUGUAGGGACAGUAACUCAGAAUAAUAUUUUAUACUUAUUGAAACACUCCUGCCUCGAGAUAUAUUUUGUAUAGCAACUACAUCUUUAUGAUCACAUAGGUCAAUAACUUACACAAUAACACACAUUUUAACAUACCAUGGGCUUUUGAUUACGAAUAAAGACAGGAAAGAGACUCGUAUGAGUAUGUAAUUCCAUCAUCAGAAUUCAAUACAAUUAGGAGGGGAGGAUGCUGCAAAUGGCAUGUAAAUUAAUCAAAAUCACUUAAUCAAUAAUAAAUUAAAGAGUCCUUCAUCAGAUUUUGGCAUCAGAAUUCAACAUAAUUAGGAGAGAGAAGAGGCUGAAAAAGAAAUGAAUCUUAAUCAAUAAAAUAAAUUAAUCC